rnacentral:rRNA from 1 species
GACGAACGCUGGCGGCGUGCUUAACACAUGCAAGUCGAACGGAAAGGCCCUGCUUUUGUGGGGUGCUCGAGUGGCGAACGGGUGAGUAACACGUGAGUAACCUGCCCUUGAAUUUGGGAUAACUUCAGGAAACUGGGGCUAAUACCGGAUAGGAGCUCCUGCUGCAUGGUGGGGGUUGGAAAGUUUCGGCGGUUGUGGAUGGACUCGCGGCUUAUCCGCUUGUUGGUGGGGUAGUGGCUUACCAAGGCUUUGACGGGUAGCCGGCCUGAGAGGGUGACCGGCCACAUGGGGACUGAGAUACGGCCCAGACGCCUACGGGAGGCAGCAGUGGGGAAUAUUGCACAAUGGGCGGAAGCCUGAUGCAGCAACGCCGCGUGCGGGAUGACGGCCUUCGGGUUGUAAACCGCUUUCGCCUGUGACGAAGCGUGAGUGACGGUAAUGGGUAAAGAAGCACCGGCUAACUACGUG